GGGUUUCCGCCCUUCAGUGCUGCAGCUAACGCAUUAAGUAAUCCGCCUGGGGAGUACGACCGCAAGGUUGAAACUCAAAAGAAUUGACGGGGGCCCGCACAAGCGGUGGAGCAUGUGGUUUAAUUCGAAGCUACGCGAAGAACCUUACCAGGUCUUGACAUCUUCUGACAGUCUAAGAGAUUAGAGGUUCCCUUCGGGGACAGAAUGACAGGUGGUGCAUGGUUGUCGUCAGCUCGUGUCGUGAGAUGUUGGGUUAAGUCCCGCAACGAGCGCAACCCUUAUUACUAGUUGCCAGCAUUAAGUUGGGCACUCUAGUGAGACUGCCGGUGACAAACCGGAGGAAGGUGGGGACGACGUCAAAUCAUCAUGCCCCUUAUGACCUGGGCUACACACGUGCUACAAUGGAUGGUACAACGAGUCGCGAGACCGCGAGGUUAAGCUAAUCUCUUAAAACCAUUCUCAGUUCGGACUGUAGGCUGCAACUCGCCUACACGAAGUCGGAAUCGCUAGUAAUCGCGGAUCAGCAUGCCGCGGUGAAUACGUUCCCGGGCCUUGUACACACCGCCCGUCACACCAUGAGAGUUUGUAACACCCAAAGCCGGUGGGGUAACCU
rnacentral:rRNA from 1 species